rnacentral:rRNA from 1 species
GGGGAGCGAGCUUACCUGCAGUCGAGCGGGGGAAGUAGCUUGCUACUGGACCUAGCGGCGGACGGGUGAGUAAUGCUUAGGAAUCUGCCUAUUAGUGGGGGACAACAUUCCGAAAGGAAUGCUAAUACCGCAUACGUCCUACGGGAGAAAGCAGGGGACCUUCGGGCCUUGCGCUAAUAGAUGAGCCUAAGUCGGAUUAGCUAGUUGGUGGGGUAAAGGCCUACCAAGGCGACGAUCUGUAGCGGGUCUGAGAGGAUGAUCCGCCACACUGGGACUGAGACACGGCCCAGACUCCUACGGGAGGCAGCAGUGGGGAAUAUUGGACAAUGGGGGGAACCCUGAUCCAGCCAUGCCGCGUGUGUGAAGAAGGCCUUAUGGUUGUAAAGCACUUUAAGCGAGGAGGAGGCUACUAGUAUUAAUACUACUGGAUAGUGGACGUUACUCGCAGAAUAAGCACCGGCUAACUCUGUGCCAGCAGCCGCGGUAAUACAGAGGGUGCGAGCGUUAAUCGGAUUUACUGGGCGUAAAGCGUGCGUAGGCGGCCAUUUAAGUCAAAUGUGAAAUCCCCGAGCUUAACUUGGGAAUUGCAUUCGAUACUGGAUGGCUAGAGUAUGGGAGAGGAUGGUAGAAUUCCAGGUGUAGCGGUGAAAUGCGUAGAGAUCUGGAGGAAUACCGAUGGCGAAGGCAGCCAUCUGGCCUAAUACUGACGCUGAGGUACGAAAGCAUGGGGAGCAAACAGGAUUAGAUACCCUGGUAGUCCAUGCCGUANACGAUGUCUACUAGCCGUUGGGGCCUUUGAGGCUUUAGUGGCGCAGCUAACGCGAUAAGUAGACCGCCUGGGGAGUACGGUCGCAAGACUAAAACUCAAAUGAAUUGACGGGGGCCCCGCACAGCGGUGGAGCAUGUGGUUUAAUUCGAUGNCACGCGAAGAACCUUACCUGGGCNUGGACUA